GUUUGAUUAUGGCUCAGAUUGAACGCUGGCGGGAUGCUUUACAUGCAAGUCGAACGGCAGCACGGACUUCGGUCUGGUGGCGAGUGGCGAACGGGUGAGUAAUGUAUGGGGCAUGCCUAGUAGCGGGGGAUAACCGCGAAAGCGUAGCUAAUACCGCAUACGCCCUUCGAGGAAAAGCAGAGGGAUACUUCGGGCCUCGCACUAUUAGAGCGGCCGAGUAUCGGAUUAGCUGAACUGGUGGAAAUGGCGCAGCUCGCAAGGCGACGAUCCGUAGCUGGUUUGAGAGGACGACCAGCCACACUGGGACUGAGACACGGCCCAGACUCCUACAGGAGGCAGCAGUGGGGAAUUUUGGACAAUGGGGGAAACCCUGGUCCAGUAUCCCGCGUGUGCGAUGAAGGCCUUCGGGUUAUGGCCCACUUUUUUGGCAGGAAAAACGGCACGGGAUAAUACCCCAUGCAACCGGCAAUACCUGCAGAAUAAGCACCGGCUAACUACGUGCCAACGGCCGCGGUAAUACGUAGGGUGCAAGCGUUAAUCGGAAUUACUGGGCGUAAAGCGUGCGCAGGCGGUUCCGGAAAGAAAGAUGUGAAAUCCCAGAGCUUAACUUUAGGGCUUACAUUUUAGCUACCGAGCUGCGUUGUAUCAGAGGAGGUGCGUUCCAUGUAGCAGUGAAAUGCGUAGAUAUGGAGGGAACACCGAUGGCGAAGGCAGCCUCCUGGGAUAACACUGGCCGCUCUUUUUACACAAAAAGCGUAGGGGAGCAAACAGGAUUAGAUACCCUGGUAGUCCGCCUAAAACGAUGUCAACUAGCUGUUGGGGCCUUGGGCCUUGGUAGCUAUUGCGCAUGAUUGACCUCAGGAGGCUGAUUACGAGAUUAAGCUCAAAGGAAUUGACGGGUUACACAAGCGGUGGAUGAUGUGGAUUAAUUCGAUGCAACGCGAAAACCUUACCUACCCUUGACAUGUCUGGAAUCCCGAAGAGAUUUGGGAGUGCUCGCAAGAGAACCGGAACACAGGUGCUGCAUGGCUGUCGUCAGCUCGUGUCGUGAGAUGUUGGGUUAAGUCCCGCAACGAGCGCAACCCUUGUCGUGGAUUGCUACGAAAGGGCACUCUAAUGAGACUGCCAGUGACAAACCGGAGGAAGGUGAGAUAAACGUCAAGUCCUCGCGGCCCUUAUGGGUAGGGCUUCACACGUCGCUAAUGGUGCGGACAGAGGGUCUCAACCCGCGAGGAGCCAAUCCCAGAAACCCGAUCGUAGUCCGGAUCGCAGUCUGCAACUCGACUGCGUGAAGUCAGAAUCUUCAAUGUGCGGAUCAGCUGCUCUUGGUGAAUACGUUCCCGGGUCUUGUACACACCGCCCGUCACACCAUGCGGGAGUGGUUUACAGUAGGUAGCCUAACCGCUCGGGGCGAUUACCUAGUGAUUCGCGGCUAUGGGUGAAGUGUAGCGAGGUAACCCUGUUACUACCUGAUGC
rnacentral:rRNA from 1 species